ensembl:lncRNA MIR4500HG MIR4500 host gene
GUAGGAAGAGAGAGAAGUCUUGGACCAUGUGUGUAAUUCGAGCGUGGGACUGUGCAAUUCUCGGAUUGGGAAAGGGAGGAGUGGAAAUAACCCCGGCAGUGCCAGGCUUGCUGGUGGUCAGGAACAGAUGAUUCCAGCCCUGUGCUGAUCGCCUGCCUUCCUCCUGCCAUUCAGAAUGCUGCUGUCUCGUGUACUUACUGUUAAGGAUCCUGGAAAAGGGAGUGGUUCCUCCUAGCUGCAAACAAGGGCGCUACUUUUCUUUUCUCUUUAAUAGAAUUACGUUUUAUAGGUGUGUCUAGGCAACACAAGGGAAUGUGAAAGACUUUCAGAGGGAAUGUUUGUGAAUACAUCUGGUGUGUACUAAAAAGCUGGAAAACCCCUAAGUAAAUGCAAUAUCGAUAGAAAGCGAGUUUCUUGAAGAGUCAUCUGCUAAACUCCACUAGAGUCAUCUCUACAGGUGUGGUUAAGAGAAAAAAAAAUUGCCAUUAAGGAAUCAGCAAAUAGGAUGUCUGAAGUGAGGAUAUAGCACCUAUCUCUGAGAUUAAAGUCAUCUGAUCAAAAAUGAUGCCUCUGAGACUAUAACAAAGGAAUGAAUAAUGAAAUAUAAGAAUGGGGAUUCUGCACUAACUCUAUGGGGAAGAAAACAAUGCUCUGAUAUAGCAAGACCAAACCAUCAUCUUUCUCCUCCUUCUCAACUCAACGUGAAGACAACAAGAAUGAAGACUUUUGAUGAUCCACUUCCACUUAAUGACUAGUACAUAUAUUUUCUCAUCCUUAUGAUUUUCUGAACCCCAUUUUCCCCUAGCUUACUUAUGCUGUAUUGUAAGAAUAUAGCAUAUAAUACACAUGACAUACAAAAUAUGUGUUAACAGAAUGUUUAUGUUGUCAGGUCAGCUGUAGGCUAUUAGAAGUUAAGCUUUGCGGCAGCCUAAGUUAUCCAUGAAUUUUUGACUUCAUGGAGGUUGAUACCCUUACCUCCAACAUUGUUCAAGUAUCAACUGUAUGCAAUACAUAUACCCCCCUCACCCUUCCAAAACUCACAUUCUGCAAAAUUGGCAGGGUGUAUGGGCAGGCUGGAAACUUAUACUGGAUUUCUAUGUUGCAAUCCUGAGGCAGUUUCUUUUUUUUCCAGGAAACCUCAAAUGUUUUUGCUCGUAACUUCUUCAUCUUAUUGGAACAGGCCCACUCAAAUUAUUGAAGUUAAUUCAAAUUUUUGAAAAGUUUAAAUUUUAUUUAUGACUUAUUUUAAAAAUUGUUUGAUAACUAAAAAAAGUAUUUGUGGUGUAAAACAUGAUGUUUUGAAGUAUAUAUACAAUAUGGGAUGGUUAAAUAUAGCUAAAUAAUAAAUGCUUUAUCUCACAUAGUUAUUAUUUUCACCAUAAGAACAUAUAACAUCCACCCUCUUUACAUUUUCAAGAAUACAAUAUAUUAACUUUUAUUAUAGUCACCUUGCUGUACAACAGACUCCUUGAAAUUGAUUUUUCCCGUCUAACUAUAUUUACAUAUACUUUGGCCAAUGUCUCCCCAAAUCCCAAAUCCUCCUAACCACCCCAGUUUCUAGUAAUCACCAUUUUGCUUUUUACCUCUAUGUGAUUAAUGAUUAAUGAUUCUAGAUGCCAUAUUAGUCAGAGUUCUCCAGAGGGACAGAACUCAUAGGAUAUA